rnacentral:rRNA from 1 species
GACGAACGCUGGCGGCGUGCUUAACACAUGCAAGUCGAACGGAGCGAAUGAAAGCUUGCUUUUAUGAGCUUAGUGGCAAACGGGUGAGUAACACGUAGACAACCUGCCGACAGGAUGGGGACAACAUUCCGAAAGGAAUGCUAAUACCGAAUGAAGCGGAGGAGAGGCAUCUCUCCUCCGUGAAAGAUGGCCUCUGAAUAUGCUAUCACCUGUCGAUGGGUCUGCGUCUGAUUAGCUGGUUGGUGAGGUAACGGCUCACCAAGGCGACGAUCAGUAGCCGGUCUGAGAGGAUGAACGGCCACAUUGGGACUGAGACACGGCCCAGACUCCUACGGGAGGCAGCAGUGGGGAAUCUUCCGCAAUGGGCGCAAGCCUGACGGAGCAACGCCGCGUGAGUGAAGAAGGUUUUCGGAU